GUUUGGUUAAGUUAGAAAGGGCGCACGGUGGAUGCCUUGACACUAGGAGUCGAUGAAGGACGGGACUAACGCCGAUAUGCUUCGGGGAGCUGUAAGUAAGCUUUGAUCCGAAGAUUUCCGAAUGGGGAAACCCACCAUACGUAAUGGUAUGGUAUCCUUAUCUGAAUACAUAGGGUAAGGAAGACAGACCCAGGGAACUGAAACAUCUAAGUACCUGGAGGAAGAGAAAGCAAAUGCGAUUUCCUGAGUAGCGGCGAGCGAAACGGAACAUAGCCCA
rnacentral:rRNA from 1 species